rnacentral:rRNA from 1 species
AAUGGGCGCAAGCCUGAUCUAGCCAUGCUGCGUGAGUGACGAAGGCCUUAGGGUCGUAAAGCUCUUUCGCCAGGGAUGAUAAUGACAGUACCUGGUAAAGAAACCCCGGCUAACUCCGUGCCAGCAGCCGCGGUAAUACGAAGGGGGUUAGCGUUGUUCGGAAUUACUGGGCGUAAAGCGCGCGUAGGCGGAUUAUUAAGUUAGGGGUGAAAUCCCGGGGCUCAACCCCGGAACUGCCUCUAAUACUGGUAGUCUUGAGUUCGAGAGAGGUGAGUGGAAUUCCGAGUGUAGAGGUGAAAUUCGUAGAUAUUCGGAGGAACACCAGUGGCGAAGGCGGCUCACUGGCUCGAUACUGACGCUGAGGUGCGAAAGUGUGGGGAGCAAACAGGAUU